AAGCCCAUUAGUUCGGGUCUUGCCAUUCUCUUAGAAAAUUUCUCGGAAAGCAAGAGCAAACAGCAGCUAUUACUGAGAAGAAAUCGAUGUCGACGGAGGAGGUAACGCCCCAAACGCCAACAGAUUGAGAGGAGCUCGGUAUUGUUGGAGCAAAGCUUAUCGCUAGAGACUUCUCUGUCGUCAGAACUGUCUCAUUCGAACCAUUCAGAGGCAUGAACGCUCAAGCUUUGUUCGGUGGCCCUGAGGUUUUAGGAGAAAGGGCUAACAGGAGGAGGAAGCAGUUAGCGAACAAGGAUAAGAGGACCCUUGUAGAGUUUUUUUCUAUUCGUUCAGGCUAGAGUCGGCCUCUAGCUGGGGUUACACCGCCAGCCCCUGCAACAACUGCUAGUGUGGUUCCCACGACCAGGUCCUUAUCUCAUAUACAACUUUCUUGUGUUCAAAUAGUGGUACCUAGAUUUGAAGAGGUCAUCCAAAGUGAUCAAGUACGGGCAGAAUGGUCUUUCUCCAGAGUUUGCAUCACUAGCGGAUCGUUCGCCAUUCUAAUGCCAACACUGUUUAGUUGAAGAAGGAUAAGGAAGAUACAUGUCGUGCCCUCAUGUCUGAGAUAGACACUAUUCGUGGUGAGAGGAAAAGUUGUAGGAUUGAGCUCGAGCAACUCAAAAGCUCUUCUUGUACCAAGAUCAAUCAACUAAAGGCUAAGAUUGACUGUCUUCAAAAGUCUCAUGUUGUUGAGGUUGAGCAACUUAAAGCUAAUACGGAAGGUGAUCGCCUUCAAACCCUUGAAGAAGGAGUUGUCUUAAAUAAUAUGUUCUUUUAGGUCUGGAAACAUAAUCGCAACAUUGAUUUAAAAUUUCUGAAUGGCGGAGAGAAGUCCUUACUAGAGGCUUGCGAACAUAGACUUGUUGAUGAAUAAAACUCUUCUAUUCGGACCUCCUUAGUGCUGUCAGGGGAUGGUGAUGUUUCAAGGCUUGAAGUUCUCCCCACAAGCACUUCUGUUGACCCUUUAGCUACCUCGGGCGACCAUACCCUUGAACUAGAGUCUUGAUGGCCUAGUCUCUGGUGCAUCUCAUGUUUGAGUAUUUUGUACAUGCAUACUCAUGACUAUUUAUUUUCUGUUGUAGUCUGUACUUGCAUGCCAAUAAACAAACCAUUUUACCUUUUGUUCUUAGUGCAAACAGAAUAGUUUUCCUUUUGUGCAUGAUGCGAACAAAGGCUAUUUACAUGUACCAGCGAAUAGACUAGUCUGCCUUUUGUGAAUGGUAUGAACAUCUUGUGUGUGUUUUAUAA